rnacentral:rRNA from 1 species
AGAGUUUGAUUAUGGCUCAGGACGAACGCUGGCGGCGCGCCUAACACAUGCAAGUCGAACGGAGAUACCAGAGGAGCUUGCUCCACCGGUAUCUUAGUGGCGGACGGGUGAGUAACACGUGAGCAACCUGCCUUUCAGAGAGGGAUAACGUUUGGAAACGAACGCUAAUACCACAUAACAUCACGAUACGGCAUCGUAUUGUGAUCAAAGGAGCAAUCCGCUGAGAGAUGGGCUCGCGUCCGAUUAGAUAGUUGGUGGGGUAACGGCUCACCAAGUCGACGAUCGGUAGCCGGACUGAGAGGUUGAACGGCCACAUUGGGACUGAGACACGGCCCAG